AAGGUAGCAUAAUCAUUUGCCUAUUAAUUGUAGGCUAGAAUCAAAGGCUUGACGAAGAAAAGACUGUCUCCUUAAUUUGAUAUUGAAUUUUAUAUUUUGGUGAAGAAGCCAAAAUAAUAAAGUGGGACGAGAAGACCCUGUUGAGCUUUAACAGGAUUUUUGUUAUACCAAAAUAUUUUGUUUUAGUUGGGGCAACUAAUACUAUAUUUAAACAGUAUUUUAUCUUAAGAAUUAAAUCUUUAAAAAUUGAUCCAAAUUAUUUUGAUAUAAGAAAAAGUUACCACAGGGAUAACAGCGCAAUUUUUUUUGAGAGUACAUAUUGACAAAAAAGUUUUCGACCUCGAUGUUGGAUCAAGAUUUCCCUUAGGUGUAGCAGCUUAAAAAGGUUGGUUUGUUCAACCAUUAAAAUCUUACGUGAUC
rnacentral:rRNA from 1 species